AAUGAGGGGAAGGCAGCUUGACAUUCGCUUUUGUGUCUCGCUCGUCUGUCAGUGAUUCCAGAUUGUUGACGAAAUAUCGUCUUCUGCUACCUCUAGGUGUUGAUGGCCAUUGAUAAUUGGAGAGGAAUGUGACAGCUUUGUCUGGGCUAAAUGCCCUACUAUAGAAUGAAAUACUCUUGGGAAACCUUGUCUGCUCCUAAACAAGUGAGCUUUGUUGCUGUAACAAAAACUGCCAGCUGUCACCCAAAAUUACAAUACAGUAGUAGCUCGAGAAAUUUCUUCAGAGAAUGGAUUCCUGUUCAAAUGACAAUGACUGAAUGGAAUAGCUGGAUUGUCAGCUACCUGCGUUAGCAAGUUUUACUUAAAGAUUUUGAAUCAACCCACUCCGACUGUCUACUAAAGAACGGCUUUUGGCGGGAGCGGGAAAGUAUGACAAAAAUGCAUCCGCAAUCCGCAACUACACCGAAUGCUGACCAAGGAGCUUAUCAGCAAUACAUGCAGGAUUCUGAGAAUUUCCGAGAAUCGUCAAGCGAACAGAAAUUGCAUGAAACACAACUUCACGUUAUCAUUUCCCCCGCCUUGAAAACGUCAACGUCAUUAACUCUCAACUCAUCUAACAUUUAAAUGUAAAGAAAUUGCAUCCUUUAUUGAGAGGAAUUAUGAUGCACAGACAAUUUCACCAAAUUACCAAGUUUUGGAUGGAAAUUUUCCAAUAUAAUGUUAUGAAGACAUUUAAAUAACAAAAAGACUUAAAUUAAAUAGUUAAAACCAAAUGUUCCCAAAACAAUCCAAUGGCUUGAAAAAUUUAGCCAUCGCCAUUUUUUAAUGGCAUGUAACCAAUUAUAGCCUUCUUCUUGCAACUUGGAAGAAUCAAACAUAAGUCCCAGCCCAAUGAUUUUCUUUCCACUGAUGUCCACAGUUUGAACCACAUUUGCGAGCCUGGAUACAGGCGCUGAAGAUCGAAGCAAGUUUUUGGCGCGUAGCGUGCUCGGUGUAAGUAUAAAACCCUAGGGACAGAAGUACUGCUGCUAACUGGAAGUUCAAUCCAUGGAGUAAAGCACUCAAGCCGUAAGUUC
rnacentral:lncRNA from 1 species